rnacentral:tRNA from 1 species
UCGCGGAGUCCGAGAGCGGCGAGGACUUGUCGCCGAAAUAAGCGCCGGAAAUCACGGCUCCGGCUGUGAUGGCAGGGUUCAGAUCCAUGCUCUGGGAA